rnacentral:rRNA from 1 species
UACGGAGGGUGCAAACGUUGCUCGGAAUCAUUGGGCGUAAAGCGCACGUAGGUGGUCGGUUAAGUCGGGUGUGAAAGCUCCGGGCUCAACCCGGAAAGGGCACUCGAAACUGGCCAGCUAGAGUACGGAAGAGGGUCUCGGAAUUCCCGGUGUAGAGGUGAAAUUCGUAGAUAUCGGGAGGAACACCAGCGGCGAAGGCGGAGACCUGGGCCGAUACUGACGCUGAGGUGCGAAAGCGUGGGGAGCAAACAGG